ACAGUUAUAAAUCAACAUAUUGAUUUAUAAGCAUGGAAAUCCCCUGAGUGAAACAACGAAUUGCUGUGUGUAGUCUUUGCCCAUCUCCCACGAUGGGCUUUUUUUUGU
rnacentral:other from 1 species